GAACGUAGACGUCCUAUACCGCUUGGGUUUGAUCCAUCUCUCUGACUUGGUGAUAACCCGCUCAAGCGCUUAGGCUUUACGUAUUGGAGGACGCCCAACUUGAUCGAGCACAGAUACUUUCCCAAAGAGACCUUUUUUUUUUUUUUUUUUUUUUUUAGUUUGCAGUUUUGGCUCAUGCAAGCGAGUGAGCAUUUGGUGCCUUGUGCAUUUUUGGCUCUUGCAGGCGAAUGAACACUUGGUGCAUCGUGCAGUUUCAGCUCGUGCAGGCAAAUGAGCAUUUGGUGCCUUGUGCAGUUUAGGCUCGUGCAGGCGAACGAAGGAGCAUUUGGUGCUUUGUGCAGUUUAGGCUCGUGCAGGCGAACGAAGGAGCAAUUGGUGCUUUGUGCAGUUUAGGCUCGUGCAGGCGAAGGAGCGUUUGGUGCCUUGUGCAUUUUUGACUCAUGCAGGCAAAUGAGCAAUUAGUGCCUUGUGCAGUUUAGGCUCUUGCAGGCAAAGGAGCAUUUUGGUGCCUUAUGCAG
rnacentral:lncRNA from 1 species